ACGCUGGCGGCAGGCCUAACACAUGCAAGUCGAGCGGAUGAAGGGAGCUUGCUCUCUGAUUCAGCGGCGGACGGGUGAGUAAUGCCUAGGAAUCUGCCUGGUAGUGGGGGACAACGUCUCGAAAGGGACGCUAAUACCGCAUACGUCCUACGGGAGAAAGCAGGGGACCUUCGGGCCUUGCGCUAUCAGAUGAGCCUAGGUCGGAUUAGCUAGUUGGUGAGGUAAUGGCUCACCAAGGCGACGAUCCGUAACUGGUCUGAGAGGAUGAUCAGUCACACUGGAACUGAGACACGGUCCAGACUCCUACGGGAGGCAGCAGUGGGGAAUAUUGGACAAUGGGCGAAAGCCUGAUCCAGCCAUGCCGCGUGUGUGAAGAAGGUCUUCGGAUUGUAAAGCACUUUAAGUUGGGAGGAAGGGCAGUAAGCGAAUACCUUGCUGUUUUGACGUUACCGACAGAAUAAGCACCGGCUAACUCUGUGCCGGCAGCCGCGGUAAUACAGAGGGUGCAAGCGUUAAUCGGAAUUACUGGGCGUAAAGCGCGCGUAGGUGGUUUGUUAAGUUGAAUGUGAAAUCCCCGGGCUCAACCUGGGAACUGCAUCCAAAACUGGCAAGCUAGAGUAGGGCAGAGGGUGGUGGAAUUUCCUGUGUAGCGGUGAAAUGCGUAGAUAUAGGAAGGAACACCAGUGGCGAAGGCGACCACCUGGGCUCAUACUGACACUGAGGUGCGAAAGCGUGGGGAGCAAAC
rnacentral:rRNA from 1 species